rnacentral:rRNA from 1 species
UGGGACCUACGGGGGGCAGCAGUAGGGAAUCUUCCACAAUGGACGAAAGUCUGAUGGAGCAACGCCGCGUGAGUGAAGAAGGGUCUCGGCUCGUAAAGCUCUGUUGGUAAUGAAGAAAGAUAGAGGUAGUAACUGGCCUUUAUUUGACGGUAAUUACUUAGAAAGUCACGGCUAACUACGUGCCAGCAGCCGCGGUAGUACGUAGGGGGCAAGCGUUGUCCGGGUUUUUUGGGCGUAAAGCGAGUGCAGGCGGUUCCAUAAGUCU